rnacentral:rRNA from 1 species
AGACAGAGGUGGCGAGCGUUGUUCGGAAUUACUGGGCUUAAAGGGCGCGUAGGCGGUGGAGUAAGUCUGGGGUGGAAUUCUGCAGCUCAACUGUGGGACUGCCUUGGAAACUACUUUACUUGAGUCGGACAGGGGAAGGCGGAAUUCCUGGUGUAGCGGUGAAAUGCGUAGAUAUCAGGAGGAAGGCCUGUGGUGAAGACGACCUUCUGGGUCUUGAUUGACGCUGAGGCGCGAAAGCGUGGGGAGCAAACAGGAUUAGAUACCCUGGUAGUCCACGCCCUAAACGGUGGGUACUAGGUGUGGGGUCUGUAAGGGCUCUGUGCCGAAGGGAAACCAUUAAGUACCCCGCCUGGGAAGUACGGCCGCAAGGUUGAA